UACGGAGGGUGCAAGCGUUAUCCGGAUUCACUGGGCUUAAAGGGCGCGUAGGUGGGCAGGUAAGUCAGUGGUGAAAUCUCCGGGCUUAACCCGGAAACUGCCAUUGAUACUAUCAGUCUUGAAUACCGUGGAGGUAAGCGGAAUAUGUCAUGUAGCGGUGAAAUGCUUAGAUAUGACAUAGAACACCAAUUGCGAAGGCAGCUUACUGGCCGAAUAUUGACACUGAGGCGCGAAAGCGUGGGGAUCAAACAGG
rnacentral:rRNA from 1 species